CGGGUGAGUAACGCGUAGGGAUUUAUCGUUGGGUGGGGGAUAACCUUGGGAAACUGGGGCUAAUACCGCAUGACGCCUGUGGGCCAAAGCAGCAAUGCGCCUGAUGAGGAGCCUGCGUUCGAUUAGCUAGUUGGUGGGGUAAAGGCCUACCAAGGCGACGAUCGAUAGCUGGUCUGAGAGGAUGAUCAGCCACACUGGGACUGAGACACGGCCCAG
rnacentral:rRNA from 1 species